UUUUGUAUCCUGUGCGCGGGCUAGACUGGUAGGAAAUAUGGAAAUUUCCCGAAAACAAACCGAAAAUUAGCCUAUAAAUUGCAGUGCCCGGCGACUUUUUGAAGAUUUCGCCGAUUUUUCGCCUGCAGCCAUUUUUCGGCGAUUUUUCCGCCGAUUUUAAUCGAAAUUUGGCGAAAUUUCUCCCAUCGACAUUUCGCCCCCCUCUUUCGUAUCGCCGGACACCGAAACCCGAAAUUUCGGCCAAAAAAAUGGAAACUUUCAUCCUUGCUUAACAAAGUACAAAAAGGGUCUUAUAAACCCAUUGUGAAAAGGUUAUGUCAAUUGUCAAGCUGUCAUUACUAGGUGGGUAAAGGUAGCUUUCUUUCUUUAUUUCUUUCUUUACUUUGUAGUGGGUAAAGGUUGCUAUCCGCCAUUACCUCGUUUAGUGGUUGCAACAGCAGAUGUGGACAUCCCCUGUUUCUUGGUUGCUGUGCUUUGAACAGCAGACGACUUCAAGCUGCAUGAGAAACCCUCUCGUUUUGCCCUCCUCUCCUCCUAUAAAUAGAGGAGGGAGAGUAACUUCAAUAUUCCACCCAACUACAAUUCAGAAAUUAAAGAAGAAAAAUGCCGAGGGUUGUGCUUCUUGCAUCAGCUCAUUUGCAGUGUGAAGGGUGCGAGAGGCAAGCGACUGUAACACUAGUCCCCGGACAUGGACGCCCACUGAAGGCAGAUGAUUGUACAAAUGUGUCACUGAUGGUUUUUGAUUGCAAUGGAAUCUUCCCGAUGUUACGAAAUCUGGCAGAAGUAUUGCCCUCAAUCUUGUUGAGGGACAAUACAAUGCUGUCGUUGAUGGGGAGUACAUUGAAAUCAACGAGCUGAAAACUAAGUUUGAACCCUAUAACGGGUGACAGGAUGCUUGGUUUUUUUGUUUAGGCGUUUCCGUUGGUUUAGGUUGUUUUUGUUUCUCCUUUUAUAUGUUUUUCUUUCUGUUUACUUCCCAUUUCGGCUCCAUUUGUAAUCCCUUCAGCAUCAUCAAUAUCAAAAGUUUGGUUUCUUACAACAGUUUUUAUAUAAUCAGUAUGAAACGUUUGGUUUGGGUAUAGCAGAAGCUCGAGACUCAGCAAGAGAGCCCUAGUGGAAACGCCUAAACAAAAAACCAAGCAUAUUGUUUCUCCUUUUAUGUUUUUCUUUCUGUUUACUUCCCAUUUCGGCUCCAUUUGUAAUCCAUUAGUAUCAUCAAUAUCAAAAGUUUGGUUUCUUA